GAAAGAGCACAACUAGCCUGCUAAUCUAGUAUCUCCAAGACUAACAACUUGGCUCUUC
rnacentral:tRNA from 1 species